GGGUUGUGAGGUUAAGCGACUAAGCGUACACGGUGGAUGCCCUGGCAGUCAGAGGCGAUGAAGGACGUGCUAAUCUGCGAAAAGCGUCGGUAAGGUGAUAUGAACCGUUAUAACCGGCGAUGUCCGAAUGGGGAAACCCAGUGCAAUUCGUUGCACUAUCGUUAACUGAAUACAUAGGUUAACGAGGCGAACCGGGGGAACUGAAACAUCUAAGUACCCCGAGGAAAAGAAAUCAACCGAGAUUCCCCCAGUAGCGGCGAGCGAACGGGGAGCAGCCCAGAGUCUGAAUCAGCUUGUGUGUUAGUGGAACGGUCUGGAAAGUCCGACGGUACAGGGUGAUAGUCCCGUACACCAAAAUGCACAGGUUGUGAACUCGAAGAGUAGGGCGGGACACGUGGUAUCCUGUCUGAAUAUGGGGGGACCAUCCUCCAAGGCUAAAUACUCCUGACUGACCGAUAGUGAACCAGUACCGUGAGGGAAAGGCGAAAAGAACCCCGGCGAGGGGAGUGAAAAAGAACCUGAAACCGUGUACGUACAAGCAGUGGGAGCACCUUCGGGUGUGACUGCGUACCUUUUGUAUAAUGGGUCAGCGACUUAUAUUCUGUAGCAAGGUUAACCGUAUAGGGGAGCCGCAGGGAAACCGAGUCUUAACUGGGCGUUAAGUUGCAGGGUAUAGACCCGAAACCCGGUGAUCUAGCCAUGGGCAGGUUGAAGGUUGGGUAACACUAACUGGAGGACCGAACCGACUAAUGUUGAAAAAUUAGCGGAUGACUUGUGGCUGGGGGUGAAAGGCCAAUCAAACCGGGAGAUAGCUGGUUCUCCCCGAAAGCUAUUUAGGUAGCGCCUCGUGAACUCAUCUUCGGGGGUAGAGCACUGUUUCGGCUAGGGGGUCAUCCCGACUUACCAACCCGAUGCAAACUACGAAUACCGAAGAAUGUUAUCACGGGAGACACACGGCGGGUGCUAACGUCCGUCGUGAAGAGGGAAACAACCCAGACCGCCAGCUAAGGUCCCAAAGUCAUGGUUAAGUGGGAAACGAUGUGGGAAGGCACAGACAGCCAGGAUGUUGGCUUAGAAGCAGCCAUCAUUUAAAGAAAGCGUAAUAGCUCACUGGUCGAGUCGGCCUGCGCGGAAGAUGUAACGGGGCUAAACCAUGCACCGAAGCUGCGGCAGCGACACUAUGUGUUGUUGGGUAGGGGAGCGUUCUGUAAGCCUGCGAAGGUGACCUGUGAGGGUUGCUGGAGGUAUCAGAAGUGCGAAUGCUGACAUAAGUAACGAUAAAGCGGGUGAAAAGCCCGCUCGCCGGAAGACCAAGGGUUCCUGUCCAACGUUAAUCGGGGCAGGGUGAGUCGACCCCUAAGGCGAGGCCGAAAGGCGUAGUCGAUGGGAAACAGGUUAAUAUUCCUGUACUUGGUGUUACUGCGAAGGGGGGACGGAGAAGGCUAUGUUAGCCGGGCGACGGUUGUCCCGGUUUAAGCAUGUAGGCUGAUUAUCCAGGCAAAUCCGGAUAAUCAAGGCUGAGGUGUGAUGACGAGGCACUACGGUGCUGAAGUAACAAAUGCCCUGCUUCCAGGAAAAGCCUCUAAGCAUCAGGUAACAUCAAAUCGUACCCCAAACCGACACAGGUGGUCAGGUAGAGAAUACCAAGGCGCUUGAGAGAACUCGGGUGAAGGAACUAGGCAAAAUGGUGCCGUAACUUCGGGAGAAGGCACGCUGGUGUGUAGGUGAAGUCCCUGCGGAUGGAGCUGAGACCAGUCGAAGAUACCAGCUGGCUGCAACUGUUUAUUAAAAACACAGCACUGUGCAAACACGAAAGUGGACGUAUACGGUGUGACGCCUGCCCGGUGCCGGAAGGUUAAUUGAUGGGGUUAUCCGUAAGGAGAAGCUCUUGAUCGAAGCCCCGGUAAACGGCGGCCGUAACUAUAACGGUCCUAAGGUAGCGAAAUUCCUUGUCGGGUAAGUUCCGACCUGCACGAAUGGCGUAAUGAUGGCCAGGCUGUCUCCACCCGAGACUCAGUGAAAUUGAACUCGCUGUGAAGAUGCAGUGUACCCGCGGCAAGACGGAAAGACCCCGUGAACCUUUACUAUAGCUUGACACUGAACAUUGAGCCUUGAUGUGUAGGAUAGGUGGGAGGCUUUGAAGCGUGGACGCCAGUCUGCGUGGAGCCAACCUUGAAAUACCACCCUUUAAUGUUUGAUGUUCUAACGUUGGCCCCUGACCGGGGUUGCGGACAGUGUCUGGUGGGUAGUUUGACUGGGGCGGUCUCCUCCCAAAGCGUAACGGAGGAGCACGAAGGUUAGCUAAUCCUGGUCGGACAUCAGGAGGUUAGUGCAAUGGCAUAAGCUAGCUUGACUGCGAGCGUGACGGCGCGAGCAGGUGCGAAAGCAGGUCAUAGUGAUCCGGUGGUUCUGAAUGGAAGGGCCAUCGCUCAACGGAUAAAAGGUACUCCGGGGAUAACAGGCUGAUACCGCCCAAGAGUUCAUAUCGACGGCGGUGUUUGGCACCUCGAUGUCGGCUCAUCACAUCCUGGGGCUGAAGUAGGUCCCAAGGGUAUGGCUGUUCGCCAUUUAAAGUGGUACGCGAGCUGGGUUUAGAACGUCGUGAGACAGUUCGGUCCCUAUCUGCCGUGGGCGCUGGAGAAUUGAGGGGGGCUGCUCCUAGUACGAGAGGACCGGAGUGGACGCAUCACUGGUGUUCGGGUUGUCAUGCCAAUGGCACUGCCCGGUAGCUAAAUGCGGAAGAGAUAAGUGCUGAAAGCAUCUAAGCACGAAACUUGCCCCGAGAUGAGUUCUCCCUGAGACUUUAAGUCUCCUGAAGGAACGUUGAAGACGACGACGUUGAUAGGCCGGGUGUGUAAGCGCAGCGAUGCGUUGAGCUAACCGGUACUAAUGAACCGUGAGGCUUAACCUUACAACGCCGAAG
rnacentral:rRNA from 1 species